UUUUAUGGAGAGUUUGAUCCUGGCUCAGGACGAACGCUGGCGGCGUGCCUAAUACAUGCAAGUCGAGCGGACAAUUGAGAGCUUGCUCUCAAUUGUUAGCGGCGGACGGGUGAGUAACACGUGGGCAACCUGCCCUGUAGACUGGGAUAACUUCGGGAAACCGAAGCUAAUACCNGAUAAUCUUUUGCGUCUCAUGGCGCGAAAGUAAAAGUUGGGUUUUACCUAACACUACAGGAUGGGCCCGCGGCGCAUUAGCUAGUUGGUAAGGUAACGGCUUACCAAGGCGACGAUGCGUAGCCGACCUGAGAGGGUGAUCGGCCACACUGGGACUGAGACACGGCCCAGACUCCUACGGGAGGCAGCAGUAGGGAAUCUUCCGCAAUGGACGAAAGUCUGACGGAGCAACGCCGCGUGAACGAUGAAGGCCUUCGGGUCGUAAAGUUCUGUUGUUAGGGAAGAACAAGUACCGUUCAAAUAGGGCGGUAC
rnacentral:rRNA from 1 species